rnacentral:rRNA from 1 species
UACGUAGGUGGCAAGCGUUGUCCGGAAUUACUGGGCGUAAAGGGCGCGUAGGCGGUCCGCUAAGUUGAAUGUGAAAACUCUGGGCUUAACCCAGAGCCUGCAUUCAAUACUGGCGGGCUAGAGUUCUGGAGGGGAUAGCGGAAUUCCUGGUGUAGCGGUGAAAUGCGUAGAUAUCAGGAGGAACACCGGUGGCGAAGGCGGCUAUCUGGACAGAGUCUGACGCUGAGGCGCGAAAGCUAGGGGAGCAAACAGG